rnacentral:rRNA from 1 species
UAGUCCACGCAGUAAACGAUGAGUGCUAGUUGUCGGGAUUUUUCUCGGUGGCGAAGCUAACGCGUUAAGCACUCCGCCUGGGGAGUACGGCCGCAAGGCUAAAACUCAAAGGAAUUGACGGGGACCCGCACAAGCAGUGGAGCAUGUGGUUUAAGUCGAUGAUACGCGAGGAACCUUACCAGGGCUUAAAUGUAGUCUGACAGCUUUAGAGAUAGAGUUUUCUUCGGACAGAUUACAAGGUGCUGCAUGGUUGUCGUCAGCUCGUGCCGUGAGGUGUCAGGUUAAGUCCUAUAACGAGCGCAACCCCUGUUGUUAGUUGCCAGCGAGUAAUGUCGGGAACUCUAGCAAGACUGCCGGUGCAAACCGCGAGGAAGGUGGGGAUGACGUCAAAUCAUCACGGCCCUUACGUCCUGGGCCACACACGUGCUACAAUGGUAGGUACAGAGAGCAGCCACUUGGCGACAAGGAGCGAAUCUAUAAAACCUAUCACAGUUCGGAUCGGAGU